rnacentral:rRNA from 1 species
UAGGGAAUUUUCGUUCAAUGGGCGGCAAGCCUGAACGAGCAAUGCCGCGUGAACGAGGAAGGUCUUCGGAUCGUAAAGUUCUGUUGAAGGGGAAAAAGAGCGGAGAGAGGAAAUGCUUUCUGAUUGAUAUUACCCUUCGAGGAAGUCACGGCUAACUACGUGCC